rnacentral:tRNA from 4 species
GGCCGAUUGGUGUAAUGGUUAGCACGUCGGAUUCUGAUUCCGGAGAUGCUGGUUCGAUUCCUGCAUGGGCCU